UCCCCUGUUGUUUUUUUGUUUUGUUUUUUAUCUGACUCCAUUCGGCGUAUAACUGGUUUAAAAGCGCAGAGCGUAAAGCUGUUCAACCAAUGAAACCAACUUUUCGAGCGGCUCCGCUCAGCUCACUGUACACGACGGAGGGGAAACAAGCCAGCCAAUUAGAAAAGUUACAACUGUAUUAGGCACGUGGGGUUUGAUUGUUGUUCUGUGCCGCACUGACGAAAAAUAGUGAAACAGUGCUUCACACGAGCAACUGAGAUGAGAAUGAGAUCCACGCCACAGACCUAAGAAAAGGAUUUUACAUAUGUGCAUGCUAGGCAGUAGUGUGUAUGGGAUCGGGGCUGUCCUACCUGUUCGUCCUAUGAGGUGUGGGGGGGUUAUCCUCCUCUUCUAGAUUAUGACAACAGCAGCAGCCACUUUGUUGGACUUUGGUCACAUAAAAAGAAAAAAGGGGAAAAACUUCCACUUUCACUCGUCUCUUCUAUCCUAAUGCUGAAACCAGCAUUUAAAGAAAAUCAACAUUAAGAAAACUACAGGCAUCGCACCAACCGUUUCACUACUUUGCUUAAUCUAUUUCGCCUUUUUCCACGGUGUUUGUGAUUUUAAGUAAUAAAAAGAAACGCCGUGCGACCCACAGAGGCACGAUGGUACUGUGUCUAAACCAGCAGCAAGGCGCGCCUGAAUGUCAGAAGAUCUAUGCGAAAAAACCAAGUGUGAAACAGAUGGAGCGACGGGCUCUUCUGUUCUAAACUAACAGAGAGUUCAUCUGAGGCGGCUGUUUUAUUCCGAACGUCCUUUUCUUUUCAAAAAAUCAACUAGCAGGUGAAACACCUUUUCCCCUCUGCUCCCCGCUGUUUCCUCGCGCUGACCCGGCGGCCAGUGCACGCGACAGCUACAAUACAGACAGUUUGUUGCACAGAAUGGGGAAGCUAUUACAAGAGAGAAACAAGACUGUCCUCUGCAGCUGCUACCUCUGCUUCCCUCCGCGAGUGUGAACCGGCGCGAGCUCAUCUCCUCCCGGUAAAAGAUGAUGAUACGCCAAGCGAGGCAGAAAUGGAAUGCUGGGGAUCCCCUGCUGCGUCCAAUCCUGACGUCUCUACCGGUGUGCCGGCGUCCGCGUGUGCGCGAGUCACUCUCAGUGUGUGUACGUGUGUGUGUGUGUGUGUGUGCGCGGACGCGCUUAGAUAUAAAUGGGGCUGCAUGGAGGGAGGGGGUAGCUGUCAUUGUGUGCCACAACUGAACUGUAACAGGUGAUGGAGGGGUGAGCACCACAAGGAGGCUAAGACACUCAAUUACGGUGCUGAUGCCUUAAAUAAUAAUAAUAAUGAUAAUAAUAAUAAUACAGUGUAGAAGAUGGAAGCUGAGCACACUACCAUGCUCACAUCGUUACAGUCACAAGGUGCACAUUCAAACUAUAUUGGAAUAGACAUUAAAAACUAUAUAGAGAUGGACACUUUAUAUAGAGAAAUGAAAUCUAGGAAUCGCUGGAUAAUCUUUAAAUUUCCAGAGUUUCAAAGUCUGCCCAUGUUUAAAAUGUAGCACUGCAAGAAACGUACACAUAGAACAGAGACAAAUUAUGCCGUUUGUAGGUGAAGUUAGUUGCCUUAGACAGGACUAUGACGCAUACACUGCAAUACUCAUCUCUCUCUAUAUCUAACAUACAAAAAUGUGGAAAAAAUACCAAAAAUAUUAAAAAUCCAGAGAAAACCAUCAGCUUGUACAUCACCAAACCGGUUUCCGCAUUUCUGUAUUCUCUGCCAAAUUUUUGAGCUGAGCAUGAUUCUGAUGUAAUUUUAUUUCUUAAUAGUUUCCAAGCAAAGCAUUAUGUUGCAUAAUCCAUAGUGAAUAUGCCAUUUGGAAAGUGAUCAUUAUUGCUGCCAUCAGUUUAGAUCUCGUACGGCUGAUACAGAGAGUGAGCUGCAGUAACGAGAAACACUGUUUCCAACCAGCUCUGUGUCUAUAGGCUACAUAUACGCUGAACAGUGUAUGUAAAAUAAAUAAAUUUAAAAAAUCUCGAUCUCAGUUUCAGCAAGAGAGAGUCGAUGUAGACAGAAAAUUGUAACAAAAUCACUACAGCUUCAUUAUGCAGAGAAGAGUGUGUUUGUGUGUUUAUUAGGGUUUAUUCAUUGUGUUUAUUACAGGGCUUGAUGCUUUAUGCACAAUAACAUUUUGGCAUGUGGAUUAGCAUGCUCUAAAUUGAGCCUGCUUGAGAUUCUGGAAAAUAAUGUUUUCCAAAACCAGCUAAUUCAUGGGAAAACCCAUAUAUGUCAAAGUUUGUAGCAUGUCAUUGAACUACUAUGUAUUUUUGCUGCAAUAUUGUAAAUAAGUAAACAUACAAAACUUGGAAAUUUUAGCAAAGCAAAAUACUUCUUUUUUUUUUUUCUUGAAUAUUGUGUCAAAUAAAUUGUAACAUGUUUUAUUUAAACUACAAUCCAAUACACAAGUCCUGCAUUAAAUACUG
ensembl:lncRNA